rnacentral:rRNA from 1 species
GGUGAGGUAACGGCCCACCAAGGCGACGAUCGGUAGCCGGACUGAGAGGUUGAACGGCCACAUUGGGACUGAGACACGGCCCAGACUCCUACGGGAGGCAGCAGUGGGGAAUAUUGCACAAUGGGGGAAACCCUGAUGCAGCGACGCCGCGUGGAGGAAGAAGGUCUUCGGAUUGUAAACUCCUGUUGUUGAGGAAGAUAAUGACGGUACUCAACAAGGAAGUGACGGCUAACUACGUGCCAGCAGCCGCGGUAAAACGUAGGUCACAAGCGUUGUCCGGAAUUACUGGGUGUAAAGGGAGCGCAGGCGGGCGAUCAAGUUGGAAGUGAAAUCCAUGGGCUCAACCCAUGAACUGCUUUCAAAACUGGUCGUCUUGAGUAGUGCAGAGGUAGGCGGAAUUCCCGGUGUAGCGGUGGAAUGCGUAGAUAUCGGGAGGAACACCAGUGGCGAAGGCGGCCUACUGGGCACCAACUGACGCUGAGGCUCGAAAGUGUGGGUAGCAAACAGGAUUAGAUACCCUGGUAGUCCACACCGUAAACGAUGAUUACUAGGUGUUGGGAGAUUGACCCUCUCAGUGCCGCAGUUAACACAAUAAGUAAUCCACCUGGGGAGUACGACCGCAAGGUUGAAACUCAAAGGAAUUGACGGGGGCCCGCACAAGCAGUGGAGUAUGUGGUUUAAUUCGACGCAACGCGAAGAACCUUACCAAGUCUUGACAUCCCUUGACGAUGCUGGAAACAGUAUUUCUCUUCGGAGCAAGGAGACAGGUGGUGCAUGGUUGUCGUCAGCUCGUGUCGUGAGAUGUUGUGUUAAGUCCCGCAACGAGCGCAACCCUUAUGGUCAGUUACUACGCAAGAGGACUCUGGCCAGACUGCCGUUGACAAAACGGAGGAAGGUGGGGAUGACGUCAAAUCAUCAUGCCCUUUAUGACUUGGGCUACACACGUACUACAAUGGCGUUAAACAAAGAGAAGCAAGACCGCGAGGUGGAGCAAAACUCAGAAACAACGUCCCAGUUCGGACUGCAGGCUGCAACUCGCCUGCACGAAGUCGGAAUUGCUAGUAAUCGUGGAUCAGCAUGCCACGGUGAAUACGUUCCCGGGCCUUGUACACACCGCCCGUCACACCAUGAGAGCCGGGGGGACCCGAAGUCGGUAGUCUAACCGCAAGGAGGACGCCGCCGAAGGUAAAACUGGUGAUUGGGGUGAAGUCGUAACAAGGUAA